AUGCGGCGGGCUCGGGGCGCGGCGCUGCCGGCGCUGGCCGCGCUGAUCAUCGUGGCUAUGGUCAGAGCCCAGGUGCAGCAGGAGCCAUUCCUGGAGACCACCGAGGGCACCGGCAUCAACAUCACCUGCUCACAUCCCAAAAUCCAGACCAGCGAUUGGAUCCAGUGGUACCGUCAGCUGCCUGGCCGAGAACCCGAAAUCCUCACAGUCAUAAUGAAAGAGUCCAAAGAGCUUCCGGACAGUGCGGGCCGUGUGUGGGUGUCGGCAGAUCAGCGUCGGAGCGCGCUGUGGCUCGGGCGGCCCCGGCGCGGCGACGCGGCCGUGUAUUACUGCGCGCUGGGGCCACGGGCAGAGGAGCCGGGGCUGCGGCCGGGCACGAACCGCCGCGGGCGGGGCCGGGCGGGGCCAGCAGGGGGCGCUGCCGGGGCGCGGCUCCGCAGCUCCUUCCGCUGCCCCGAGCCCGCACGCACCGGCACCGCCAGCGACACCGAAAGUGCCCUGAAGAACAAUUCGGGGGUCCCCACAUGA